rnacentral:rRNA from 1 species
GUGGGGAAUAUUGGGCAAUGGAGGAAACUCUGACCCAGCAACGCCGCGUGAAUGAUGAAGGUCUUCGGAUUGUAAAGUUCUUUUCUAAGGGAAGAAGAAAGUGACGGUACCUUAGGAAUAAGCCUCGGCUAACUACGUGCCAGCAGCCGCGGUAAUACGUAGGAGGCAAGCGUUAUCCGGAAUGACUGGGCGUAAAGGGUGCGUAGGUGGUUUGACAAGUUGGUAGCGUAACUCCGAGGCUUAACCUCGGCACUACUACCAAAACUGUUGGACUCGAGUGCAGGAGGGGCAAAUGGAAUUCCUAGUGUAGCGGUGUAAUGCGUAGAUAUUAGGAGGAACACCAGUGGCGAAGGCGAUUUGCUGGACUGUAACUGACACUGAGGCACGAAAGCGUGGGGAGCAAACAGGA